CGCCCCUGUUGCUAGCCCUCCCCUAGCACUUCUCUCUCUGUAUAAAUUUAUAACAUAUAUGCUCUAUUGAUCAUGUUGGGUACCUACUUUCUGUAGUCCCAUAGUUUGCUACUGUAUAUAUUCUUCUGCUGAUCAAAGAAGUAUAUUCUUCUGCAAGAUCAUAACUCAGGACAUAAACACUUGGACUGAUCUUAUUGGUUCUUGUUAAAUUUAAUGGGAUCAUACAUGGAAGGGAGAGACAUAAUCAGCUACAACAAGUUUCAGAAGAUAGUGAAGGGUUGCAUAUCUUGCUUGGCUUGGUUCUUGAUGAGCAUGGUUGGAGGGUUGAUCUUGGUUUGGUGGGAAGUAAAUUAUCAUCCAAGCAAUAGUCAACAGUGGAUGGUCCCUAUUGGUCUAAUUCUUAUGGUUACACCGGUCAUCGUCUGGUUUGCCGCCUUCGUUUCAGAAACCUGUAGUCCCAGAGAAUCAUAUGAUGGUGUUUCAAGCCUCAACCAACCUGUCAUGUCAUCGGAUAACUCAGUUCAUGACCCAGAAAGAAGAUGAUCGAAUACAGAGUUGCCAACGCCAUGCACGUGAUUCGCUAGUGAGACCCCUCCUCUCCUCCCCACCGCCCCUAGCUUGUUUUUUGGUCAAUUUUCUUGUUACAAUAUCACAUCAUCACUUUGCAUUGCAGGUUCUACUUGUGAUUCAUUGUUCAUAUAUUUAUGUAAAAAAUUAAAAACAAAAGCAUGCUGAGUGAAGAUUGAGGUUAUUAAAGUGGUUUGUUUGAGAUCAAUUGGUUUAAGAUGGAUGAUAAUAUGGAGUCACUCAUAUCACACUA